rnacentral:rRNA from 1 species
UGAGGAAUAUUGGUCAAUGGACGGAAGUCUGAACCAGCCAAGUAGCGUGCAGGAUGACGGCCCUAUGGGUUGUAAACUGCUUUUGUAUGGGGAUCAAGUUAGGGACGUGUCCCUAUUUGCAGGUACCAUACGAAUAAGGACUGGCUAAUUCCGUGCCAGCAGCCGCGGUAAUACGGAAGGUCCAGGCGUUAUCCGGAUUUAUUGGGUUUAAAGGGAGCGUAGGCUGGAGAUUAAGUGUGUUGUGAAAUGUAGACGCUCAACGUCUGAAUUGCAGCGCAUACUGGUUUCCUUGAGUACGCACAACGUUGGCGGAAUUCGUCGUGUAGCGGUGAGAUGCUUAGAUAUCAUGAAGAACUCCGAUUGCGAAGGCAGCUUACGGGAGCGCAACUGACGCUGAAGCUCGAAGGUGCGGGUAUCGAACAGG